GCCAGUGUCUGGCAGGGAUGACUCCAUCAGGACCUGCCCAUCAGGUAGCUGUGCCCUCUACCCAUCAUCACAAAUGGCCCACGGCUCACCUACAACAAGCCCGACCUCACAAGGCCCAACCCCUGGCUCGCAGCCCAUCAUGGUGCCCACUGUGUCAUUCACCACGGCAACCACAUCGAUGCUGUAGGCCUGGACAAUGGAGAGAGCAGAGGUAGUUGCUUCUGCCAUUCGACAUCCUCUUAUCUUUGGAGUCUGCAAGUACACUGAAGACAGACCACAUCUCUGUUCUGCACUGAAAGCUCCUGGGCAAUGUGGUCAGAUCCAAGAACUCUGCAGCGAUUAAUUCAACAGUAUGCGUGAGCACUGCAGCACUACUACCUAACACUUGCUUCAAAGGACAGCAUGUCCUAACCAAUCAAUGUGAAACUGUCCUGCAUAGCCAGCCACUGCUUCCACUUAAGAGCAAGGAACACCUGGGCUGUUAUUAUGCCUUACUAUGGGAAAAAAAAUAAACCCUCUUCUGGUACAAGGACCAAAACUGCAACAGGACUCAACACAGUUUACUUAAAAACCAACUGACUACACCAACUGUUUGAUGCUGAGUAACUUCUAUUAACAUUUCUGAGAAAAGACUAUCUGAAACUCCAACCAAGGGGUUCUCUCAGGCAAGAUAUUCAGAAAAUACUAUUUCCAAAGGAACCUGACCACUGCAAGAAGUCAAAUCAAGGAUUACAGUUCUGCCGUGGUAUUCCAAAUAAAUACUUUUGAGCAAUUCUCUGUCAUUAGUAAGUUAGUAUCCCUGAACAGCCACAAUAUAUUACAAAGCAGUAAAAUAAUAACUGGUUCCACAUACAUACUUCUACUUGUGCCAAAUCUCUACUAUGUGUUUUAUAUUCUUUAUCUAAUUUAAUCUUCAGAGCAACCCAGUAAAAUAGGUUCUUUUUUGUCUCCAUUUUACAUAUGAAGAACUGAAAUUCAAAAAAGCAUUCUUCUUCUAUGUUCCCCUAAUGCUCUGGGCAUCUCUAUCAUUACGUUUGUCAGACCACAUUAAAAUUAUCUAUGUGUCUAUCGCCUCCUUUACCACCAGGACCCUUUGAGAGAAGCGACUGUUUUUUUGUUGUUGUUGUUUUAUCUUUGUAUCUCAAGAGUCUAAAACAAUGACUGGCACACA